ensembl:snoRNA
AGUGGCCCUUAUUGAAGCUGCUGUGGUCAAAAAGGAACCCAGAGUGACAACUUUCCUUGAUGGUCACUGAUGGCUUUCGUUCAGUUUCUAGUAACUGAUUGCAGCAUUUCAGGAGAAGACAGGU